rnacentral:rRNA from 1 species
GACGAACGCUGGCGGCGUGCCUAAUACAUGCAAGUCGAGCGGACGGAUGGGAGCUUGCUCCCAGACCGUCAGCGGCGGACGGGUGAGUAACACGUGGGCAACCUGCCUGUAAGACUGGGAUAACUCCGGGAAACCGGGGCUAAUACCGGAUAACUCUUUCCCUCACAUGAGGGAAAGCUGAAAGAUGGCAUCUCGCUAUCACUUACAGAUGGGCCCGCGGCGCAUUAGCUAGUUGGUGAGGUAACGGCUCAUCAAGGCGACGAUGCGUAGCCGACCUGAGAGGGUGAUCGGCCACACUGGGACUGAGACACGGCCCAGACUCCUACGGGAGGCAGCAGUAGGGAAUCUUCCGCAAUGGACGAAAGUCUGACGGAGCAACGCCGCGUGAGUGAUGAAGGUUUUCGGAUCGUAAAACUCUGUUGUCAGGGAAGAACAAGUACCGGAGUAACUGCCGGUACCUUGACGGUACCUGACCAGAAAGCCACGGCUAACUACGUG